rnacentral:rRNA from 1 species
UACGUAGGGUGCGAGCGUUAAUCGGAAUUACGGGGCGUAAAGCGUGCGCAGGCGGACUGUUAAGCAAGACGUGAAAUCCCCGGGCUUAACUUGGGAUUUGCGCUUGUGACUGGAUAGCUAGAGUGCGGCAGAGGGGGGUGGAAUUCCACGUGUAGCAGUGAAAUGCGUAGAGAUGUGGAGGAACACCGAUGGCGAAGGCAGCCCCCUGGGCCAGCACUGACGCUCAUGCACGAAAGCGUGGGGAGCAAACAGG